GGAAGUGAUGAUGUAAUUUGCGUCAUAGGGUGUGGUCAGUGACGGUUGCCUGCCGUCGUAUACUACUACAUUUUUAUGAAGACACUAUAUACAUACUGAUCC